rnacentral:lncRNA from 1 species
ACUCAGAUGAAGUAGAGUCCGGGCCAUCCCGGCUCACCAGUCAUCUCCCGAGCUUGCAAAACAUGUUCACGUUAUCUGACGAAGAAAACUUCUCCAGCAGUGGCCCUCCGCCUUUAGCUUGCAUUAGAAUCUCGCGAAGGACUUGUUAAAAGGGUACUGAAGAGCAUCACCAGCAAAACUGCCAAUUCAGUAAUUCUAACUCCGCGCUGAAAAUGUAUGUUUCUAACAAGGGAGAUCAUCCAUUAAUGCAAAGGACCCUUCUGAAAAAAAGGAUCCAAACCACCUGGAGCCCUCAACCACCAGACUAAGUGGAGCCUAAGGAUUGAUGAUACUGACCCUUGUGACUUCACUUAAUUAGGUGCCUGGAUCUCAUCAACCCAGAAUAUCCUUUGCCUCAUUUUAAUGCUAAAAUCUCCGCCCCAAGGGCAGGGCUUGUUUUGAGCAUGCAAAGUCUAUUCCAGCCUGUUAUCACACUGUUCAUCUAGAACAUCUCUGCAGGGAAGAUCAUACUUGCCCAUUUGAGAAUAUGCAUGUGCCCUUAGCUUAACACUGCCCUGAACUUGUUCAGAACAGUGCUUUGAGAACUCUCUCCCUGUCUCCUUACUUGUCACAAGUUAUAAAUUCUUCUGCUUUGUUGGAAAGUACUUGACACUUCAGUUGCUAUGCAGUCCAAGCAGUGGACCUAUUUGUUACGUUUAUUGAGGAAGGAACGCACAAGGUGGAGUCGAUAAAGCAAGAGAAAUAUAUUAAGGCAUCUGGAACAAAUGGGUUGAGCUCAAGAUGAUAUCAGCCCAGACUGUGAAGAGGAGUUCUGCUUAUAAGGGGCUGGUGGUGGGAAAAAUGUGACAGAAACAAUGUACCAAGGAGGGACGUAGCAAAGGAGUAAACGUCUCCUCUCUGUGUCUCAUGUCCAAAUAUGUGUUGCAGCCACCCUGCCAAGGGCAAGGAGUGACGCAAGCAGGCAGAGUAGUUAAGCCUUAGUAAUGCAUGCUUCACAAGCGACCUUCCAUAUGUCCUUGUCUGCGCUGCUCAACCGGAACAACCACAUCAGCUGUCCCCUUAGAACCUAUCGCUGUUGAGCCAGACAACAGCAUGAAGAGCCCUCCAAAGGAAAAAUAAUGGGAGUUCCCACUGUGGCGCAGUGGGUUAAUGAUCAGGCUCUUCUCUGGCAUUGCAGGUUCAUUCCCUGGCCCUGGUGCAAUGGGUUAAAGAUCCAAUUCCAGAGUUCCUGUUGUGGUGCAGCGGAAAUGAAUCCAACUAGUAUCCAUGAGGAUGAGGGUUUGAUCCCUGGCCUCACUCAGUGGUUCCGGGAUCCAGAUUGCCUGAGCUGUGGUGUAGGUCACAGACACGACUUGGAGCCCGAGUUGCUGUGGCUGUGGCAUAGGCUGGCAGCUACAGUUCCAGUGUGGCUCAGAUUCUCUCCCUGGCCCAGGAACUUCCACAUGCCAUGAGUGUGGCCAAAAAA